CUGAUCCUUCAACUAUUGUGUGUGUGUGUGUGUGUGUGUGUGUGUGUGUGUAUCUCCUCUCCUUGAACCAUGUCCUUCAUCUGGGUAUGCGGUGGAUUCAUCAUGUCAUUCUUAAGACACAGUGCUGGAGAUUCGGUGGAGCAAACGACUGGCACUGUCAUUCUCACAGAGGGUCAACCUAUCACUCUCAACUGUUCCUAUGAAGCAGGGAAUGCUGGCAUAUUUUCCACAUACUGGUACAUUCAGUCUCCUGGUCAGCCUCUGGAGCUCUUUUUGACAGAGUCUGAGAAUCAGCCUCAAGGCUUCCAGACUACUCACAUCUCCCAUGAAAGCAAGAAGAAAGGGACUUUCCAUAUGGAGAAAACAGCCAGCCAACUGAAGGACUCUGCUGUCUACUUCUGUGCCUUCAGAGACACAGUGAGACAAAGGAGAUGA